AGCCGAACAAUUGUGCGCUCCGCGGAGAGGAGGGUUAACGGAUGUGACAUCAGCAGGCGCAAUUUCCCGUGCAAAUAGCAGAAACCACUAAACCCGAAAUUGUCCCGAAUUGCGCGCGAGUCGUCUUACGUGGUUCAUAACACCCCGCGGUUUAACGUAAUCUUGUCCCAUACGUCGAGUCUGCGCUUGCGAUCAUCGGGUAUCGAUCGAUCGCACGGUCUAACCGGAAAAGAGGAUUUCCACGCCGUACUACAAUGACGGAAUAAUGGCGUGACACGAAUGUACACGCAUUGCAAACAGUGCAAACCGCAUCGUAUGGGAGAGAUUCGAACGAUAUUGGAGGCAAGCAGUUUCUCCCGUCUGCAGUGAAGAACACGAAGGGUAGGACGGCACUAUUCUCUGCUACGGUACACACUUGACAAGACGAGAACGACGACGACGACGACGAUGACAACGACGAUGACAAGGGCGCCAAGCGCUGAGAAUCGCAGAUUACGCGAGAGUCGCUGACGCAGUCGCAGCCUUUUGUGGUGGGAUUAAUGUCGGUUGUAUAUCCGAACACCAAUUGCUAUUGGCGACAUUUAUAAAUCAUCCGAGCUAUGCAAAACUCGAGACACGUUCAACCGGACACAUUUUUUUAAAUGUUAAAAAGUGAUGUAAUAUUAAAUCUUUUGAAUUCUCAAUAAAUACCUGACAAUCAAUGCGA